UUCUCCAAACUGUAGUUGAGCUAGGUAUACCUGUAGUUGAGCUAGGUAUACCUAGCUCAACUACAGUUUGGAGAA